AUUGAACGCUUGCGGCAGGCCUAACACAUGCAAGUCGAACGAGUGGCGGACGGGUGAGUAAUGUCUGGGAAACUGCCCGAUGGAGGGGGAUAACUACUGGAAACGGUAGCUAAUACCGCAUACCAUCGGAUGUGCCCAGAUGGGAUUAGCUAGUAGGUGGGGUAAUGGCUCACCUAGGCGACGACCCCUAGCUGGUCUGAGAGGGUGACCGGCCACACUGAGACAGAGACACGGUCCAGACUCCUACGGUAGGAAGCAGUGGGGAAUAUUGCACAAUGGGCGCAGGCCUGAUGCAGACAUGCCGCGGGUAUGAAGAAGGACUUCGGGUUGUAAAGUACUUUCAGCGAGGAGGCGUUACUCGCAGAAGAAGCACCGGCUGACGCCGUGCCAGCAGCAGCGGUAAUAC
rnacentral:rRNA from 1 species